UUCGGCUAUACACCAAAAACAAACAAACAAAACAAAACCAUCAAUGUAUGAAAUCAAACACAACAAAGUGUGUAGUUGCAAUUUUAUACUCACAGGCAUUGUUAAUACAAAGAAAACAAAUUCUAGUCUCCUUGGACAUAUUCACAGGCCUCCUGUGAUCCAUGGCCAUGAAGUUUUUCAAGAGUUGGCGAAGAAGCGUAGGUAAACAUCCACUCUUAAGAGGCCAAAGAAUACCGCACUAGAAAAACGGUUACCUCCCCCACACUUCUCCAAAGUAGAGGCUCUUUAUAAACAAUCACUGUGUUCUUGAAAAUGAUAGAAGACUCCACUUAGCAUGCUCAGGUAGCAUCCUAUGUACCCUAACGCAAGGUCAGUUUCUUCCAGAAACUAGAAUUUCUCUCUAGACAGGAGAGAAAUUUAAAGGGCAGGAGUGAAUUUGGAUUAAAUUUAAAUCUAGUACGUUUCUCUUUUUUUUUUUUACUCUUGGUGUGGAAAGGAACUCUGACAAAUGACUGGAGUAAACACCACUCCAUUGCCGACUAAGAAUUUAGUUAUCUGCUAAUGAACAGGAAGGAGCCUUGUGAGGACCAAAGGUGGUGGCAGAGGUGAGAUGGUUUUUAAAUUUAAGAAAAGAUCGGGGCUUGAAUUAAAAAAAUUAAAACCAUCUUUUGGCCAAAGAAAAGGGUCACUGAGCCAGCCCACCUCCCGACACGUGGUUGCCCAAGUCUGUCCCUUCCACUAGCUUUGUCUAGAAUAGGAUUUAAAGAUGGGGUGUUCCAAUGUGUUAGCCACCACAUUUUUCAAAAGUCUGUUGUGCACCAGGCAGUGUAGACUUUAAUACAAGCAAACCUGAUGGAGUUAAAAGCCAAGCUUUCCUCAGGCUUUAACUCAACAAAUCUUAGCCCAUGUUGAAGGCAAUGGGCCUCGUCUACACUAGGCUUUAUCAAAAGUGUUAGUAACAUGUUCUAACAGUACCCCUUUCAUCCUAGUCUAGACAAGGCCACUAAGUGUGAAAAGUAGGGUUUACACUUUGUGGGCCUCACAGCCAGAAAGCUAAAUUUGCAUAAAUGUCUGGUUGAUGCUGCAGCUCGCAACCUUGCAGAUGUUUGUUUUCAACUUCUACAGCAAGUUUUUCCUAUAAAUAGAGUGGUCUUGGGCAGAAGAGCCUACCACCUUUUAUGGCCUUUGGGUUCCCGGAAGACUAGAAAUAUUUUCUAGAGACUUAUCUAUAGACCAUCUUUAGACCACUCUGCCGCCUUUGUGCCUAUUUAUAUGAUCUAAAGCAUAUUCUGAAAAAGAAGUUAAGACAAUGCUACUUUUUCCUCUAGACUUUUUCCUGAUUCAAAUACUUUUUCCUGAUUCCUGUGGUCUUGAAAUAUUUGGGGGAAAGAACCAUUGGGGAAAUUAAAAAACCACAAAAUAUUGAUGGUCACCUAUGAUGUUGAUAGAGGCAUCAAAAUUAAUUAAAAGUGGCUUGCAAGUUAAAAAUUGACAAUGAUAUGACUAAGAACUAUUCCAUUAUAGGUGGUUUAGGUUCCAGUUAAAAUGUGCUGGGAACAGUCCUAAUGUAUUAAAUUUUUUAAUGUACAGCAUCAAUAAAGAGAAAAAAAUUAAACUAUGAACAAUUAGUUGACAGUGUCCUUUUGAUAUCAAAAUAAAUUUUACAAAUGAAAUCAAUUCACGCUAUACAAAACUAUGUCCAGUUUGGUAAAGAAAGCCAGAACUGGAAUUAAGUGCUGCACUGCCAUCUUGUGGUUAAAGCGAAAAACAACAAACAUUCACACAACAGGAGUUGUUUCAGUAGUGUAAAAUGACAACAGGGUGACCAGCGCCAUGUUUUGCACCUUCUAAAAGGUUGUUAUACUUGUACAGACCAACUUUCCUACAUGUUACAUAUAGCAUUUACAGCCCAUGUAACUUACUGCUUUUCAGAAUCAAAUAUUUGACCUUGUGUGAAGAGAGAUCAAGAUAAAGGAGCAAUUCACUGACUCAUCCUCUUUUUCUUUUGUAGGAAGAAGAUUCCACCCCACUGCCUAGGUUGAUUAUGAUAUUAGAAGCAGGAGACAGCAUUUGCCACCUGAAUAGAGAAAAGAGGCUCUGACACUACUAAUUCAAACAGCUACUGCCUGAGAAGAUCCACUGAGGUGGGAAGGUGAAGAAAGCCUUUACCUCCCCCAAGGUAUCUGGCAAGUCUUGAGGGAAAGCGGAGAAACACUCCCUUCUGCAGCAGACAGAAGCCAGUUGCAGACAUGUGGGAGAAUGAAAAAGCAGCAUAGGGCCAGCAGUAUGGAGAGAACCUAGCCUUGAGCAAAGCUCUCCCUUUAAAACAGUCAUUCAUUAUUCUCCAUGUUGGCCUUUUAACCUGCUGAUGUGAGAAUGGAGUAAGGAAGCUGCAGUCUCACCUGCUUAAAAAGCUCCAGACAUCUAUGGCUGGAGUAUAUCUUUCCUCUCCAAGCAGAAGUUCAGGAGGCCGGUACCAUAAAGUAAUAACUUUGUUGGUAUAUGGUCGACUGAAAAAAAGAAGAUAGAGAGAUUCAACAUUUCUCUUAAAAUGAGAUUGUAGUGAACUAAUAAAAGUUUGAGGUUUCACUACUACAAUAUUGUUUUAUGAAUGUGCCAUUUUUUCAUUCCCUUUUUACCAAUACUGAGGCUGCUGCCACUAUAUAGAAAGUCAUUACUUAAAUCUACCAAAGGAUAGCCUGAAACAGUAUCUCAGAAAUAAGUAAACAUAACCAUCUUCAUGGGGCAUUAAAAAUAUCAUCAGGCUUCAGAGUUAAAUACCUAUACUGCUGUUUAAUUGCUAUUCAUUUUAGCAAUAAGACUUUCAUUAAUAUCUCCAUCCACUGCUGUUAGGUGCAGUUACUGGCACAAAGAAGUUGGUUGCUGAAGUGCUGAACAAAGAGUUCAACAGUUGGGGGGGAAAAAAAUUCAAGUCACCUCUGCCCUUCUCCACAAAGGAGAGAAGCAUAGAUGCAGCCGUUCCCUACUAUCAUAAGUUUCAACUGCCUCUUGGGUUUCAAAGCUCCCAGAUCUUCCUGGAUUCCAACAGCCCCGACUUUACAUUUGCAAGCUAUCAAAACUUCCAGCUCCCACUGAAAGACUUCUGCAAUGUUUUGAGGCAAUCUACUUUAGUUUUAUCAGACUGAAAACAAAGUUUGGGGACAAUAAAAUAAUGGAAUGUAUCAAAAUAAAACAGUGCUAUUGCCAAAUCUA